GAAAUCACAAAUGCCCUACUCAUAUUCUUCCUGUGAGCUGAAGCGGAAGCCUAAAAAAGCGCUUAUUUUGAGAAUCUCUUGCACCGCUUUCUCCAUGGAGACUUCGGCCUCGGUUUGUUUACGUCGUUGCGUUCAGGAAGAAAAGAUCGAAUCAUGGUCGCGUUCACCAUAAUCAAUCUCCAAGAAUAGGCCAAAGAACCUCAUGAAUCUGCACGCUUCACCGCCGCCACUCAACAAAACGCCACGAAAAAAAAUCGAAAUGUAUCUCAUCAUGAACACGGCAACAACAUCUCACGAAGAAACAAGAAGAAAAUUUGAAUCCGCGUCCAAACUCAACAAUGAAAAUCAAACUCCGACUCGAAAUUGUGCGAGAAAUAUCUGCGAUUGAAGAUUGAAACUGUACCAAAUCCGUGCUUUGCGCCGCCGUUAUGAAGAGUGGAUACGAAGCUUGGUUCGAUUCGUUCUUUGCACGGAGGUGAAUAGGAAGACACGCUGAUUCGCGUCUCUACAAGUUGCGACGAAACUCGAGGGUUUUGUUAAUGGUGAUGAUGAAGGAGAAAUGUGGAGUAUGAAGACUGAGUUAUGAACUGGUUGAAGAUUAGAGUUUUUGACAGUGAAGAAGAUUUGAGCUUUGGAUAGUGAAGAAGGUUUGAGCUUUUGGUGAGGUUCUGUUGCGGGUAAUCACUUAGCAUGCAAACAGACACGGAGCCGCAAAUGAAAUAACUUGUUAAUAAACCUUAAUUCUGUCCAAUAUUGCUUUAUAGCAUCUUGUGUAGCAGUAGUGAAAUCACUUUGGUAGCUAGUUUUCUGUUUAGUUUUGGAUGAUGGCAGAGUUGUCUUAUCAUGGCCAUGUGCAUAAUUGUUUCUACUGAAUAUGUGUUUGGGUUGUUUUCCAGGCCAUGAGCAUUCAGUUUGUGCUUUGGAAUGGGAGCUACUUGGAUUGCAAUAGAUUUGAAAGACUUAGGGCCUGUUUGAAACA